UCCCUGAUGUUUUGAAGGACAACAGGUUGC
rnacentral:piRNA from 1 species